rnacentral:rRNA from 1 species
UACGGAGGAUGCGAGCGUUAUCCGGAUUUAUUGGGUUUAAAGGGAGCGUAGACGGGUUUUUAAGUCAGCUGUGAAAGUUUGGGGCUCAACCUUAAAAUUGCAGUUGAAACUGGAGGCCUUGAGUACGGUUGAGGCAGGCGGAAUUCGUGGUGUAGCGGUGAAAUGCUUAGAUAUCACGAAGAACCCCGAUUGCGAAGGCAGCCUGCUAAGCCGCCACUGACGUUGAGGCUCGAAAGUGCGGGUAUCAAACAGG